GCCUGCCAGUGGUACACAUAAGUAAGAGCAUCCCAAUGAGCCCACUAAAAAUAUUCUAGGGUUAGAGACCCUAGGUGAAUCCGAAAUCUAGCUUGGAGAACAUAUUACUACCUCUUAGUUAAUAUAAAUAUUAGUGCAACAACAAGCUGUUGCUAGGGAUGAUAUGAGAAACAUAUUGGAGCUAUAGUAGAAACAACAAUAAAAGAUUAUGAAACAACUAAUAUUGAAGCGACAACCCCAACAGCAGUAGAGAGCCAGAAACCAGCAGA
rnacentral:lncRNA from 1 species